rnacentral:misc_RNA from 1 species
AAACUGCUUCCUGCAGUCCAAUUACCCAAGCAGGGCAAUGUGGGACCUGUUCAGUCAUCCUCAUGGAGUUUGAUUCGUGUUGGGGGGGCAAGGUAUUAUGAACCUUAUAGGGGCUUACUUCAGAGUGGGUUCUCUGCCUCACGGAAGUUUCUCUCGAAGUGGACAAUAAUUUUGGAAAAACCAGAGAAUCCAAAUGGUUUACCGGCCAAAACUGUGCGACAAGUUUCUAUGACUAGGCAAGGUACAGACCCACAGGUUGAAGUUAAUGCUGAGAUAGACAGACAGAAAACUGGUGCUGCACGGUUGUAUUCAGGAGACAUACAGGUUGGGGUUGAAAAUCAGCGAAAACUUUCAGAAAACAGCAA